rnacentral:rRNA from 1 species
GACGAACGCUGGCGGCGUGCUUAACACAUGCAAGUCGAACGGAAAGGCCCUGCUUUUGUGGGUUGCUCGAGUGGCGAACGGGUGAGUAACACGUGAGUAACCUGCCCUUGACUUUGGGAUAACUUCAGGAAACUGGGGCUAAUACCGGAUAGGAGCUCCUGCUGCAUGUUGGGGGUUGGAAAGUUUCGGCGGUUGGGGAUGGACUCGCGGCUUAUCAGCUUGUUGGUGGGGUAGUGGCUUACCAAGGCUUUGACGGGUAGCCGGCCUGAGAGGGUGACCGGCCACAUUGGGACUGAGAUACGGCCCAGACUCCUACGGGAGGCAGCAGUGGGGAAUAUUGCACAAUGGGCGGAAGCCUGAUGCAGCAACGCCGCGUGCGGGAUGACGGCCUUCGGGUUGUAAACCGCUUUCGCCUGUGACGAAGCGUGAGUGACGGUAAUGGGUAAAGAAGCACCGGCUAACUACGUG